UUACGACCAUAUCACCUUGAAACACCGGUUCUUGUACGAUCACUGAAGUUAAGCAACGUCGAGCUUGAUCAGUAUCUAGAUGGAUGACAGCUUAGGAAUACCCGGUGCU